rnacentral:rRNA from 1 species
CGGCGGACGGGUGAGUAAUGCCUAGGAAUCUGCCUGGUAGUGGGGGACAACGUUUCGAAAGGAACGCUAAUACCGCAUACGUCCUACGGGAGAAAGCAGGGGACCUUCGGGCCUUGCGCUAUCAGAUGAGCCUAGGUCGGAUUAGCUAGUUGGUGAGGUAAUGGCUCACCAAGGCGACGAUCCGUAACUGGUCUGAGAGGAUGAUCAGUCACACUGGAACUGAGACACGGUCCAGACUCCUACGGGAGGCAGCAGCU